rnacentral:rRNA from 1 species
CUACGGGGGGCUGCAGUGAGGAAUAUUGCACAAUGGGGGGAACCCUGAUGCAGCAACGCCGCGUGGAGGAUGACGCAUUUCGGUGUGUAAACUCCUUUUAUAUGUCAAGAAAAUGACGGUAGCAUAUGAAUAAGCACCGGCUAACUCCGUGCCAGCAGCCGCGGUAAUACGGAGGGUGCAAGCGUUACUCGGAAUCACUGGGCGUAAAGGACGCGUAGGCGGGUUGGAAAGUCAGGUGUGAAAUCCUACAGCUUAACUGUAGAACUGCACUUGAAACUUCUAAUCUAGAGUAUGGGAGGGGGAGAUGGAAUUAGUGGUGUAGGGGUAAAAUCCGUAGAUAUCACUAGGAAUACCUAAAGCGAAGGCGAUCUCCUGGAGCAUUACUGACGCUAAGGCGUGAAAGCGCGGGGAGCAAACAGGAUUAGAUACCCCGGUAGUC